CCUACGGGUGGCAGCAGUGGGGAAUAUUGCACAAUGGGCGCAAGCCUGAUGCAGCCAUGCCGCGUGUGUGAAGAAGGCCUUCGGGUUGUAAAGCACUUUCAGCGGGGAGGAAGGCGUUAAGGUUAAUAACCUUGGCGAUUGACGUUACCCGCAGAAGAAGCACCGGCUAACUCCGUGCCAGCAGCCGCGGUAAUACGGAGGGUGCAAGCAUUAAUCGGAAUUACUGGGCGUAAAGCGCACGCAGGCGGUCUGUCAAGUCGGAUGUGAAAUCCCCGGGCUCAACCUGGGAACUGCAUUCGAAACUGGCAGGCUAGAGUCUUGUAGAGGGGGGUAGAAUUCCAGGUGUAGCGGUGAAAUGCGUAGAGAUCUGGAGGAAUACCGGUGGCGAAGGCGGCCCCCUGGACAAAGACUGACGCUCAGGUGCGAAAGCGUGGGGAGCAAACAGGAUUAGAUACCCGAGUAGUC
rnacentral:rRNA from 1 species